rnacentral:rRNA from 1 species
UACGAGGGGUGCAAGCGUUGCUCGGAAUUAUUGGGCGUAAAGGGUAGGUAGGUGGUCUCAUUUGUCUGGGGUGAAAUCCUUGAGCUUAACUCAAGAACGUGCCCCAGAAACGGUGAGACUCGAGUACUGGAGAGGGUCGUGGAAUUCCCGGUGUAGCGGUGAAAUGCGUAGAGAUCGGGAGGAACACCAGAGGCGAAGGCGGCGACCUGGACAGUUACUGACACUCAACUACGAAAGCGUGGGGAGCAA